rnacentral:rRNA from 1 species
GACGAACGCUGGCGGCGUGCUUAACACAUGCAAGUCGAACGGAAAGGCCCUGCUUUUGUGGGAUGCUCGAAUGGCGAACGGGUGGGUAACACGUGAGUAACCUGCCCUUGACUUUGGGAUAACUUCAGGAAACUGGGGCUAAUACCGGAUAGGAGCUCCUGCUGCCUGGUGGGGGUUGGAAAGUUUCGGCGGUUGGGGAUGGACUCGCGGCUUAUCAGCUUGUUUGUGGGGUAGUGGCUUACCAAGGCUGUGACGGGUAGCCGGCCUGAGAGGGUGACCGGGGACAUUGGGACUGAGAUACGGCCCAGACUCCUACGGGAGGCAGCAGUGGGGAAUAUGGCAGAAUGGGCGGGAGCCUGAUGCAGCAACGCCGCGUGCGGGAUGCCGGCCUUCGGGUUGAAAACCGCUUUCGCCGGUGACGAAGCGAGAGUGACGGUAAUGGGUAAAGAAGCACCGGCUAACUACGUG